GUUUUGGCACACAAGACCCCAUAAUUUAAUUUUUCUUAAUUUUGUAAACCAACCACAACACUUAUUAGGCUUCUUGGUGCUUGUGCUGUAACAGAAGAGAGUAUGUAUGUGUGUAAAUAAAGAAAUGUAAAUCAUGCCAUGUUACAAUGGCCCCUUUCCACUGCUGGUAUGCUUCACCACGAUACAUUGCAUAAGCUUCUUCCCGUAGCAAGCUAUAUUGCAGCAAAAUUGACGCUUGAAAACCGGCAUUAUACAACACUCAACAAUGGUUGUGCCUUCCGCACUACGAAGGCAAAGCAUUUCAGCAUCCAAAAUUUCAGCUGUCCUUAUAAUUAAUUGCCUCUAUGAGGUACGUGGCUGUGUUGCAAAGAUACCCGAAUUCUCAUGCAUGCCCAAAAAAUAGUUUGUUGGGUGUAUUUCUGCUUGGUAAUGAAGACGGCUAUAACAGUGCACAUUGGUGACACAACAGUGGCCAAAUGCUCAGAUUUCUUUUAAGUAGAGUGCUGUGUGCUUUUAUGACUUUGGUGAAGUUAGCAUCUGAAUUUGCCAUACACACGCCUGCAAGUUAUCUAUUUAUUAAACUCACGCACACAUAAUAUCACUAUAAUGAGAAAUGCAUAGUGUUUUAGCUGUUCCCUGCAGUAUGUUUUCUGACAACUGCUUUGAUGAUGGAUGGAUGGAUGAAUAAAUUUCUUGCGGUCCGUUGGUACAUGCGAUUGGUGCGCAGCGGGCCAAUCCCACGUCGGGACAGAGAGGCCAUGCCCCUCCGCCGCGUCGCAGGCUCGAUGGACAACCCAGAGCUGUGCUUCAAGGUCCGAGCUGUGUGGAGCUUGGUCCCACUCUCCCUUGGUGGUCCCGGCACCAGGGGGCAAGCCCAGAGCAUGUGAUCAAGGCUAGCUACAUCCUUACAGUAGAGACACGCAUUGUGAGGGUGCGCAUCCGGAAAGAUUUUGUGCAGGAAGGCCGGGCAUGGAUCCACUGGCCACUGUAAUCACCAUGGCGGGAACGCUAGGCCUAGGUAUGCUAUUACGGUUCUUGCCAUUCAGUGCUGUCUUUUUCAUUGAAAGAAUUCACCGCUGUCAGCAAUGGUACCCACUCUGCCUCUGCAAUCCUCGUAAAGCACGGCGCGUUGCAUAUUGCUGGUCCUCGAAAGGCAGCUUUGCCUCAGCACAGUGAUGCUACGCGGUGAAGUGUAUGGGACGCAGCACAUAUACGUGCACUUGCCGUCUCCUGUCACAGUGCAAGCACCUAUAUGCCUAAUAAGUGUACUGGCAGACCUUCAGAGCUUUUUCGGACGUGCCUGUGGCGAUUUGGGCCCUUAAGGGCAGUAAAAGACAUGCAUUCAUUUUUUUCGGACAUUGUAGCGGCCCUUAGGGACUCUGAAAAAUCGGACUGUACAACUGAUCAAAAGGAUGCUUCAAAUGGUCCAUGGGGCGAACACGCAGUGGAACGAGGACAAGAAUAGGAAGGACCAUUGCUUUGAGGAAUGACUGGGAAAGGAACUGUGCCGCCGCCUCUUUGAAGGAGCUUGAGCUCAAAAAGCAAAGUGUUGGCUGACACUAAGAUGCAGGUUACCCACAUCCACACCAAAAUAAACCCCUUAAACAGUGCAGUGAAAUGCAACACUGAGGCAUUAUGUGCAGUCUGAGAGUAUCUCAGGACAGUUGAGGUUGACUUUCCAGUUGCUUGGAGAAUCUGAUAUGUGACAAAGUUCGGGCAUAAUACCAAUGAGCUUGCUAUCAGUUGAUACAAAUAGCUCUAUUUGCUUUUGUAUGCAUCUCUUUUUAUUCGCAUUUUAAAAUGUUCGACUAUUUGCCCUGAGCUAGACCACUUUUUUUUUUUACAGUGAAGCUGUCUAUUGCGAGGAUCUGGCGGAUCGCAUCCGCGCAUAGACCAACAAUUUUUCAUACGAUGGGCCGAUCCUGAAGAAAUUGCAAUACCAGGCCAACCCGAGGCAGAAGUGAAGCAAGCAUUAAGCACUCCCCAUAUGUGGGCUGAUCCCGAAGGUCGUGAAAUGCCAGUCCAACCUGCGGCGGAGAUGAAGCAGGCUUUAAGCACUCCCCACACAUGGGCCAAUCCCAUAGGUAGUGCAAUACCAGGCUGACCCGCAGCAGAGGUGCAGUUCACCAUUAAGGGGCCCACAUACGCAGCUUCGCUGGUCAGCCUUCACAGAGUAAAGGGGCACCGGGUUUCUUUCGAAGAUAUUUUAGUAGCUGUGCAUUUUACAAACCCCUCGUUUCAGUUUUCUAUUUUGAAUAAAAUAAACACUACUCCUUACUGUUCAAA